rnacentral:tRNA from 1 species
GUUUUAAUAGUUUAAAAAAAACGCCGGUCUUGUAAACCGAAAAUAAGGUCUGCCCCCCUCUUUUAAAACU